AGCAGCCGCGGUAAUUCCAGCUCCAAUAGCGUAUAUUAAAGUUGUUGCAGUUAAAAAGCUCGUAGUUGAAUUUCGGGAUCAAUUUAUUGGUCGUGCUAUUGUACGUACUGGUAUUAUUGAUUCCUACCUUCUGACGAACCAUGGUGUCAUUAAUUUGGUGUCAUGGGGAAUCAGGACUGUUACUUUGAAAAAUUAGAGUGUUUAAAGCAGGCUCACGCUUGAAUACAUUAGCAUGGAAUAACGAAAUAGGACGUUUGAUUCUAUUUUGUUGGUUUCUAGGAUCGACGUAAUGAUUAAUAGGGAUAGUUGGGGGCAUUAGUAUUCAAUUGUCAGAGGUGAAAUUCUUGGAUUUAUUGAAGACUAACUACUGCGAAAGCAUUUGCCAAGGAUGUUUUCAUUAAUACAAGAACGAAAGUUAGGGGAUCGAAGACGAUCAGAUACCGUCGUAGUCUUAACCAUAAACUAUAGCCGACUAGGGAUCGGAUGAUGUUAAUUUU
rnacentral:rRNA from 1 species